rnacentral:rRNA from 1 species
UACGAAGGGGGCUAGCGUUGCUCGGAAUCACUGGGCGUAAAGCGCACGUAGGCGGAUUGCUAAGUCAGGGGUGAAAUCCUGGAGCCCAACUCCAGAACUGCCUUUGAUACUGGCGACCUUGAGUCCGGGAGAGGUGAGUGGAACUGCGAGUGUAGAGGUGAAAUUCGUAGAUAUUCGCAAGAACACCAAUGGCGAAGGCGGCUCACUGGACCGGUACUGACGCUGAGGUGCGAAAGCGUGGGGAGCAAACAGG